AAAAAUUAAAUUUUGAAUAUUAAAGUAGUAAUAGUUAAGUUCUUGAAAUUUAAAAAAUUUGGCGGUAUUUUAGUCUAUUCAGAGGAACCUGUUUAGUAAUCGAUAGCCCACGUUGGACCUUUCUUAAAUUUGUAAAUUAGUUUAUAUAUCGUCGUUGUUUAUAGAAUAUUUUAUAAAAAAAAUAAUUUUCAAGAUUUUUAAUAAAAAUAUAUAUCAGAUCAAGAUGUAGCUUAUAUUUAAGUUUAAAAUGGGUUACAAUUUUUUUAUUAUUGGAUUUAGUUUUGAAAAAAAUUAUUGAAAUUGGAUUUGAUAGUAAAUUUAUAAAGAUAAAUAAUUUGAUUUAAGCUCUAAAAUAUG
rnacentral:rRNA from 1 species